GGGAGGAGCAUCUCCCGGAGGCCAAGCCUCCCCCAGAGCUGCAUAAAUCCCUCGGUUACUGAACAAAUCACCUUGAGGGCAGGGGCUGAGGCUUAUUCAUGUUUGUACGCCCUGCAUCCAACACAGAGGAGGUCUCUGCAUCAGUGGGCAAUAUACGUUUCCUUUACUGAUUGCCCCAGAAAGAUGGUAAAGACACAGCCACGCCCAGUCACCUACAACUCCUACAGUGUCUACAUCCUUUCCUGAGUCUUCUCCCUGGAGGUGAGGGGACCAGCAGCCUCCACAGUCUCGGCCAAUAGGAAGCCCAAAAAUCAGGCCAGUAGGAAGCCCAGAACAUUUCUCAUCUGAACUCAUGCUCACUGGACCACACUUUGGAGGCACCCAACCCCCAAAGAUGGCUGCUUACCCCUCCUCAAAGGCUCCAGGGGGAGCCUCAUAACGCAGGGUUAAUGAGGCAUCCAGCGGCAAGAACUCCACGGCCUACAAAGCAGGAAGUCCUUCCUGCGGUGUAACUUCCAUCCCUCCUGCUACAGCACCAGCCAACAUGGGGGAUGUUACAGCUCAGGCUACUCCUCAUAAUUCCUCAUCUGAGACAAAGUCUUGCUCUGUCGUCGCCAAGGCUGGAGUGUAACGGUGC